rnacentral:rRNA from 1 species
GACGAACGCUGGCGGCGUGCCUAAUACAUGCAAGUUGAGCGCUGAAGGCUGGUACUUGUACCAACUGGAUGAGCAGCGAACGGGUGAGUAACGCGUGGGGAAUCUGCCUUUGAGCGGGGGACAACAUUUGGAAACGAAUGCUAAUACCGCAUAAAAACUUUACACACAAGUUUUAAGUUUGAAAGAUGCAAUUGCAUCACUCAAAGAUGAUCCCGCGUUGUAUUAGCUAGUUGGUGAGGUAAAGGCUCACCAAGGCGAUGAUACAUAGCCGACCUGAGAGGGUGAUCGGCCACAUUGGUACUGAGACACGGCCCAAACUCCUACGGGAGGCAGCAGUAGGGAAUCUUCGGCAAUGGACGAAAGUCUGACCGAGCAACGCCGCGUGAGUGAAGAAGGUUUUCGGAUCGUAAAACUCUGUUGGUAGAGAAGAACGUUGGUGAGAGUGGAAAGCUCAUCAAGUGACGGUAACUACCCAGAAAGGGACGGCUAACUACGUG